GAUGAACGCUGGCGGCGCGCCUAACACAUGCAAGUCGAACGGAUAAAGCACCUUUCUGGUGUGUAUAAAGCGGCGAACGGCUGAGUAACACGUCGGCAACCUGACCUCCUCUUCGGGAUAGCCCAGGGGAACCGAGGAACAUACACGACACCAUAAUGUCGCCGCAUGACAUCAUUGAGAAAGCUAUUGCGGAGAAGGAAGGUCCCGCGGCAUGGUAGCUUGUUGGUGGGUAGAGGCAUACCAAGGCAAUGAUGGGUAGCUGGGUUGGGAGACCGAACAGCCAGAUUAGGACUGCGAGACGGAGCAGACUCCUACGGGAGGCAGCGGUGGGGAGUCUUGCACAAUGGGCGAGAGCCUGAUGCGGCGACGCCGCGGGCGGGACGAAGGCCUUCGGGUUGUGAACCGCUUUCAGCAGGGACGUGGCGAUGAGUGACGGUACCUGCAGAAGAAGCCCCGGCUAACUACGUG
rnacentral:rRNA from 1 species